rnacentral:rRNA from 1 species
ACGAACGCUGGCGGCGUGCUUAACACAUGCAAGUCGAACGGAAAGGCCCUGCUUGCAGGGUACUCGAGUGGCGAACGGGUGAGUAACACGUGGGUGAUCUGCCCUGCACUUCGGGAUAAGCCUGGGAAACUGGGUCUAAUACCGGAUAGGAGCCAUUUUUAGUGUGAUGGUUGGAAAGUUUUUUCGGUGUAGGAUGAGCUCGCGGCCUGUCAGCUUGUUGGUGGGGUAAUGGCCUACCAAGGCGGCGACGGGUAGCCGGCCUGAGAGGGUGGACGGCCACAUUGGGACUGAGAUACGGCCCAGACUCCUACGGGAGGCAGCAGUGGGGAAUAUUGCACAAUGGGCGCAAGCCUGAUGCAGCGACGCCGCGUGGGGGAUGACGGCCUUCGGGUUGUAAACUCCUUUCGCUAGGGACGAAGCUUUUUGUGACGGUACCUAGAUAAGAAGCACCGGCUAACUACGUG